CAUAUCAAUAAGCGGAGGAAAAGAAACCAACAGGGAUUACCUUAGUAACGGCGAGUGAAGCGGUAAUAGCUCAAAUUUGAAAUCUUACUCUUUCAGAGUACGAAUUGUAAUUUGUAGAGGAUGUUUUUGAGUAAUAUCAAUCUAAGUUUCUUGGAACAGAACGUCAUAGAGGGUGAGAAUCCCGUAUGUGAUUGAUUAAUUCUCUAUACAAAACUCCUUCGAAGAGUCGAGUUGUUUGGGAAUGCAGCUCUAAAUGGGAGGUAAAUUUCUUCUAAAGCUAAAUAUUUGCCAGAGACCGAUAGCGCACAAGUAGAGUGAUCGAAAGAUGAAAAGCACUUUGAAAAGAGAGUUAAAAAGCACGUGAAAUUGUUGAAAGGGAAGCGUUUGAGAUUAGACUUGUCGACAGUAUUCGCUUGGUUCUUGAACUGAGUUAUUUGCUGUUUACAGGCCAACAUCAUUUUCGUCUAUCGGAUAAUUGCUUAAGAAUGUAGCUCCUCGGAGUAUUAUAGCUUAAGUCGAUACGAUAAGAUGGGAGUGAGGUCCGCGAGAAAUCUAGGAUGUUGGCGUAAUGAUCUUAAACGGCCCGUCUUGAAACACGGACCAAGGAGUCGAUCAAUUAUGCGAGUUUUCGGGUGUCAAACCCUUAAGCGUAAUGAAAGUGAACGGAGGUGAGAGCUUAGGCGCAUCAUCGACCGAUCCUGAUGUCUUCGGAUGGAUUUGAGUAAGAGCAUAAUUGAUCGGACCCGAAAGAUGGUGAACUAUGCGUGAAUAGGGUGAAGCCAGAGGAAACUCUGGUGGAGGCUCGCAGCGGUUCUGACGUGCAAAUCGAUCGUCAAAUUUGCGUAUAGGGGCGAAAGACUAAUCGAACCAUCUAGUAGC
rnacentral:rRNA from 1 species